UACGUAGGGUGCGAGCGUUGUCCGGAAUUAUUGGGCGUAAAGAGCUCGUAGGCGGUGUGUCACGUCGGCCGUGAAAACCUGCAGCUUAACUGUGGGCGUGCGGUCGAUACGGGCAUCACUGGAGUUCGGCAGGGGAGACUGGAAUUCCUGGUGUAGCGGUGAAAUGCGCAGAUAUCAGGAGGAACACCGGUGGCGAAGGCAGGUCUCUGGGCUGACACUGACGCUCGAUGCACGAAAGCGUGGGGAGCAAACAGG
rnacentral:rRNA from 1 species